GGAGGACGGGCAGGAUGGUAAUGCAGCGGAUUGCUAAUCCGUACACGGGGUUAAAGCCGUGAGUGGGUUCGAUUCCCACGUCCUCCGCCA
rnacentral:tRNA from 1 species